GAUCCUUUUAAUCAAUCUCUGCUUUAUUCUUUAGCUCUGUCCAGCGUCUGCUCUAGGCCAGCCUUCCCAAGGCAUCAUACCACAAGCAUCCUGCUGAGUGAAAAAUUUGGAUUAUUUGCUUGGAAAUACCAUGCAGCCUUCCCAGACAGGGAGGCCUCAAGGACUCCAGUCUGCCAGUUCCUAAGUUGCAAAGGGUCUCAGGUCUGCGUUCACAAAAUGUGCUUUUCAAUAUCUGAACUCCAUUCAUUUCAUAUGGAGCUGAGCUGUAAAAUGUUUCCUUGUCUUGAGGAGCAAGCAAUUUGAUUAAGGUCAAAAGGGACACUCUUGUGGAGGAGGUUUCCAGGUGUUAGAGUUGUUACCUGAAGGAGUGUAGGAAGGGCCAGCACAUAUUCAAGAGAGAUUUUGGUCUCUCUUUGUUUUAAAUCUCUUGCUCAAAUGUUCCUGGGCCAUUUGUCUUCAGAGAAAAGGAGGGGGGUGGAUGGAGUCGGUGAGGUAUGUCAAAGGCAUCUUUAAUUUUAGAUACAUGCUUCUUUUCUGUUCUUAUCAGUCAGAAUAAACUAAGUUUGGGUGGGUUUUGUGGCUGGAUUUUUGUUUUGGUUUUUUUUUAACAUUAUUGUUAUUAGUUAUUUAGUUCUAACACUUAUUAUAAAAGGAUGAUAGACACUGAAUCUGGAAUUAUCAUCCUGGACAUGAAUAGCACCACUCAGAAAACCAACUGAGACAUACUCAGAAUCACUCCUGUCCCUCUUGUUUGUUUCAGGUGUGCUGCCUUGGGGUCCAGUGCUCUUGCACUGAAGUCUUGCAAAGUUUCUUGUGUCAAUGCUAGGCGGUGCCUGGCCCUGGUAGGAGAGCCAAGGAGAAAAUCAGCUUUCCUUAUUUGUGUUUAUGUUGGUAUGAUUUUGGUGCAGAAUUUUGCUAUAGAGGAGGGAUGCUCCCAUGAUAUGCUGUGGAAAGAAAUCCAAUCACAUGCACAGGGAGACUGCAUUCCCCAUUUUGCCCUGCCCUGUGCAAUCAAGGACACUACUGGGUGCCCUGGAAUCCCUACACUGAGGAUCCCAUCACAUUCCUCUUCCACUGAGAUCAGUGGAGGUUUGGUUUUCCAUCAGAGCCCGUGAGAUCUGUCCUUAUUGUGCAUCAUCUUCUGUAUGAAUGAAGUUUAAUUCCUGCCUGUUGUUGUCUCCUUGCUGACAGAGCUUUGAUGAAUUCAGGGUGUCAUUCAGUGACAGUUUCUCCUUGCACAGGGAGCCUGAAUGCAGAAAACUGCAGAGGGCUGUGGAUGCUGAUGAAAGGUGUGUAGGCACACAGUUUGUGGUGAUUGGGAGUGGGGCUGGGGCUGAUCCUCAUCCCCAGUGGGUCCAAUUGGAACACCAAGGUUUGGGUUCUGAGGAUCACAAAGCAAAACUCCUUCUCUGUGCAGGACAGGUGAAUAAAACUGAAGGUGAGGAGCCAUGGAGUGCCCAGGUGUGCUGAGCAACCACACAGGGCACAGAGGCACACAGGGGCAGUGCAUCAGCAGGAGGGGAUAAAAGGCUGGGCUGAAGGACAAGGGGAGCAGAGCCUGCAGCCUCCUGAAGUGCUGUGGUGUUGCUUUGUGUGGGUUGGAGCUUUCUGAAAUAGGGUGGUGACACUCUGGGUAUUGUGGCUGUCUCGACUGUGACAAAGGUAUCUCUUGUUUUUCUAUCCAAAACUAUAUUUGUAUUACAAGCUGUACGUUCCACACGCUGUGUAUUUCAGGUUAAACACUUUCUGUUUCAUCAGUGGGUUUGUACUUUAAAGAUGCCCUCAACUUGCCCUGAAUACCUCAGGAAUUUUAAGAAUUUAUUUUUCAGGUCUCAAGCAUGAGGGAAGAUGAUCCCUCUUUGCAUUCAAAAUGGCAAGGCAUUAUUUUAAAGCAGAAAUUUUGCAUAUUUUCAGUUUAAGAAGCUAAGGAACAAUAUUUUUUUCUUUUAAAGUCAUCCUUAAAUAUUAGCUGCAGAUACACACACGGAAGAAAAAUAUGGUUUGAUCACAGAAGAAAUAGAAAAUAUUUUUAAUUCAAUGUUUAAAGGGCAUAAUUAUGUUUUAUUUUGUGCUAGAUGACAAGCUUAGAUAAAUGUUGCUUUAGAAAGAAUCUAUCCUACUGCAGAGAGUGCAGUGGAGGAAUUGUAUACCAAUUUAUACUCCAGCAUUUAUUUCUGUGUAUGCUUAUUCCUGUUAGCUAUUUAUAGGCAAUGUUACUUAUUCAGGACUCAUAGAUCUCAAAAUUAAGGACAAAAAUGUUAUAAGGAUCUGAGUAAAUGAGAGGAACAAGGUUUAAUUCUUCUGAAAAUCUGCAAGAAAAAAUUGGUUUUUUGGUGCCUUUUUACUUGUGAACAUCUCCUCUAAUUACUGACAGGAUGAUUCCAUAGGCUAGACAAUAAAACUGUUUUGUGUGGCUAGUGAAAUAUUUUCUGUUACCCAGAGUUUAAUGGAGGAUUAGCAUUUUUAUGUCUUUGAAAUACGCAGAAAAUGUGAGAAAACUAGAAAGUAGAAAUUUUACUGAUUUGCUGCUCUUUGACCUAUUUUACAAGAAAAUAUUGCCAGAAUUGAUUAGCGAUGCUGGACAGCUCAAUUUCUAAGCAAAAUGGAGUGGCUGUAAACAGAUUUUCUCUUGAAUUCAUGAAGAAAAAGUGCUUUUUAAAUUGUCUUAUUUUUGAGCACCCAGAAACAAGGGCAUUCAGACCACUAUCUACUUCUGAAACAUUCUGAUGGUUUGACUGAUUUGUUCCUUUUGAGAGAACAGAACAAAUAAUAUUCCAGCUGUUUUUGUUUUCUGUGCUAUUCUGUAUUUUGAAUUCCACCUACUAGAAGCAGGCAGAGAACCCACAAGGUUUCCAAGCACAGUCUGUUGCACUGCCAAAUAAAACAACAGAUGUGAUUUAGCAGGUUCCCCUAAUUAGUCAGGCAUCUCACAUUAUAGGAUUGCCCAAGGAACUGCUCCUAAUACCUCUGCCCUUGGCUCUAGGCUUUAAAAGGCUCUCCUGAUGCCAGGCUAGCACAGAGCAGGCAUGGCAAUUUGAGGUGGUGACACAAAUGUGUCUGGGAGCAGCCAGGGCUGGCUCCUUUCCAGGGACUGGGAAAAGCAGGAGCUGAGUGUGAUCCCACAGCCACGGGAGUGGGACCUCAUCACUGUCCUACAGCAGGGGAAGAGUUAAAUGGGCUCCAGGUGAGGCUGGGCAAAACCAUUCCAGGUUAAAGGGCUCCAGGUGAGGCUGGCAGGACCAUUCCAGGUUAAAGGGCUCCAGGUGAGGAUGGGCAGGACCAUUCCAGCCAAUUUGGGCCCUGACAAAAGUCUUACAUUAACCACAGACAGCAGGUUCGGAUCUACUCUGUUAAGAUGCAGUUAUUCCUCAAGGUUUGUGUUGCUCCAUCCAAAACUGAAAAUGUGCAUUUUUUGCAGAGCUGUGAGUGCUGACCCAUUGUUAAGCUUUUUGCUGCUCUUGGUUUUUUUGUACCUGAAUCAUCCCUAGGUCUUAUUGCUUCAGUGUUUUACUGCUGCCAGUAUGUCUAUGAUUAUUUCUCCUAAGCUGUGGUCCCAGUUGCUUUUUUUAGACAGCUUCCUUGUGGUGAAAGGCCAGAACAUUUUCAUGGAUUUUCAAAAGCAGGGCUGUUUUUCAGCUGUUGGAUGUAUAGGUUCCAAAGAAGGUGCUGGGAACUAACUAAUGAUGUUCUGGUUUGGACUGACAUCCAGAAAGGUGCUAGAACAUGAUGUGUAGUAUUUCUUAAUCUUUUCAUUGAGAUGAUUAGUGGGGUUUUUUUUGCUGUCCUUGCAGCAGUGUCAUUGCUGGAACUGGAGCAGAUGUUGGUGUUAAGUAUACAGAGCCAUAGCAAAUGACUGCAUAUCUAAAUUUGUGUCUUGUUUGUACUACAAAGUAUCUGAGCUCUGUACCAUCAUUUUAUAAUGGUUGAGAUAUUUGAGGAGGUGUUUAAAAAUUAGCCUGGUGUGAACUAAAUGAAUGAAAAAAAACUGAAGUGAUGCCUUCCCUUGGUCUGUUUGCUGAGGGUGGGAGGUGAGCUGUGUGGCUCGUACUGAAGUUCUAACAGUGGAAUAUGACCUUAAAAUUGUGAUUGGACCUGGAAUGUUGUUGUUUCAAAGAAAGCCAGAGUUGGUUUUCUCAGUAUUUAUGCACACAGGUGGGAAACUGCACAUAUUUGAGAUGCAGAAUGUCCAGGCUGUUUUCAUGGGACCAUGGUGCCUGCAGACUGAAACAUGAUGGAAAACUCUAGAGCCCCAAACGCCAAGAUUUGGUUUCUGAGGAUCACAAAGCAAAACUCCAUCUCUUUCCUAGGGUUUUCUUCUUCACAGAGACCUCAGUCACUCUCACCACCUUUGUAGCCCACUGGCAAUCCCACAAAGGAGCAAUCAUAAGCAGUGAAAAUAUGAAGGUGAAGGAGAACAUCCACCCCAGAUUGUGUGGAAUAAAAGACUUAAAUGAAAAAUGCAAUCCAUAUAUUGCAAUGUCCUCCUUCAGCUUCAUUAUUUUUCUGCACACACAGUGUUUGAUGCAGUGCUGUGAGCAUUCUCUGGAGCCUUUUUCUGUGAUGAGCACUUAGUUUCUGUGGCUCUCUGGUGUUAAUGAGCCCAAGCAGAUUCAGGAACUAAAUCCAAAUGGCAGAAAACUUCAGGAAUUCAGUGAGCAAAGUUAAGAGGUUUUUGUUGUUAUUUUCAGUAACUGUUGGUAAGAAUGUGAUGUUAAUUGGAGGGGUUGACCUCUGCCUCCAAAGGCAGAUUCAUUAUUUCAUCUUUUCCAGCCUUCAGACUGUUUUAUCUUGGACCUUCCUCUUUCUAAGGACUGGUAUUUCUUCCAUUGUAAAGCAUUAAAAGAUUUUUUUUCCCAUUUGGAGCUGUUUUUUAAGGAGGCAGCUCCCUCUGUGAGUGCUUGCUGUGCAGGAAGGGCUGCAAAGGUUUGUGUGUCAGUGGUGCCCAGACCUUGGGAGAAGUCCUACUUCCGGGGAAAGGGAAAAGCUGUUCUGGGAUGCCAUUUGGAGCUGAGCAGAAGCAAACCCAGCAGCUCUCUGGAACAGGAGUCCAGAGCAGCUGUGGGUGCUCCAUCCCUGAAAUGUUCAAGGACAGGUUGGAUGGGGCUCUGAGCAACCUGGUCUAGUGGUUGUACCCACCCAUGGCAGGGGGGUUGGAACUAAAUGUGUCCCUUCCAAGCCAAACCAUUCUAUGAUGGCAGAUUUAGUAGCACUUUGUGCACUAGGAACUUUGUCUGGUUGAUAACAUAAUUUGCAAAAGCAUUUUUAUCAGGUAGAUCAACCCUGAAGUUUGGUUUUAGUUAAAACAGGUCAACUGGUCAGAUAACUCAGGGAGUAAAGGGGUAUCAAAUAAAAUGUUGGUAAACGCACAGAAAAGUGAAGGGCAUUAUGAAAUAAUUAUUAUCUCCUAAACAAAGCCACCAAAAACUUUGUAUUUACAUGACAGGCAUUUCCUAAUUCUCUGUGUCUGGGGCUCAAAGGAGCAGUGUGUUGUUACCCUGCUCCAGGUCUGCGAGUAGCAGCAGCUAUAGUUUCUCACAUUGAUAGUGAGUUUCACACACUUGGGAAAAAUGCUUUGAAAUCCCAGGAUUAAGGAGAACCGGACAGGAAUUACUGUGUCUCUGCUAUUGCCCACAGUGUUUCAGAUUGAGGAGAAGCUGUACUUUGUUCUUUCUGACAGUUCAGACACUGAUCUUUUUCUGCUGGGUUUACAGAUCGUGCUCUUGCCUGAAAGCACUUGAAGUGGAUCAUGAUCUUUCUUUUUACUAGAUAUUGUUGCCCAAAUAAAUACUUAGGACAGAAAUGUUCAAAAUGGUGUUGUCAUCCCCACUCAGUGCAGGCUUUCUAUGCUAGAAAAAGAGACAUCUAAAAAAUGAUUCAACUGCAUAAAUUAUAUUGUAUAUGCACAGGCACCAAGCAGAGCAUCAUAUUCUGCAGGAUGAAGAUCUCUAUUUAGGAAAGCAUCAAAAUCUGCAGUAUUUUGCAGAACCUGAAAAAUCAGAACCAGGGAUGUGUAGGGUUCUUGUUUUUGAGUUUGGCCUCAUUUCUGCUCCUGCCAUUGACUUGAAUUUUGGGCUGUAUUAAAGUAACCUUUGUGUUUGGGAGAAAGAGGUGGUCAGUAAUGCAGGAGGUGUAGUGGGUGUGUUAAUGUGUGCAAUGUAAUGGUUAUGUCAAUGUGCACAGCUGGAGCAGGACGUGGCACAGUGCUCUGGUAUUUGAGCCAGUUCUGAACUGAAAUUUGCUCAGGGCUUGGAACAGCCCUUCCCAGAACACAGGGAAGGGCAUUUGUGUGAUCAUUGAACAUUCCUCUUGAUUUAAUAUAAGCAAAGAAUAGAGAUUUAUUUUUAGUCCAGUGCAACUCUCUCCAAACCCUCCCCCUUUAACUUAAUUUUCAUUUUCAUUUGGAUUCACUUUCUUUUCUUACUGUUUUUGAGAAUGCUGCAGACAGUAGGGUUCUGUACCCCAGUUGUAAUCCAAUGGCACUCAGAAGGGAAGAGACUUUGCUCUACAGACAUUAUUCUGCAGGAUGAUGUGUACAGCACAGCUCACGGGCAGAUUUGUUAGGACUGUGCAUAUAGAAAAUGCUUCCAAAGCAAUGAGAGAUUUGGGCUGCUCGGUCAGGUCCUUGAAUGAUGAAUGGAUUUAUUCAACAGCAGUCAUCUGCAUGCUUUUGACAUUACCUGAGUUCCAUUUUGCUGUGGUCACAAGGAGCCGGAGGAAAUUGAGUUUUGUCAGUCUUGGGAAAUGGUGUCUAAUUGCACCCUGACUUAUUUAGUGUUCUGGAGAGCUGAUACAGUUGAUAUUAGAGGAUGAUUGAAUUUUAUUGAUGUGCGGCUGCUUGUUAUGAAAAGGAACAUCACGGUCCUGUUCCACUGCGAUUUUUUUUGUUUUAUGAAAAUAUUUUUGUAUCUUUCAUAUCAGAUGUGAUAUUAUUUCCCCACCAGAUGUCACGCAAACAAGCCCUAAUUAUGCACAUAUUCAGUGUACUGGAGCUCAGGGAACCUGCUCAAUGGCUGACUAAUAUUGCUUGCAGAGUGCUGUACUUGUAUAAAUAUAGCAUUUACUUGUUCCAAGCCACCUACAGUUACUUCUGCUUGAGAUUUAUAUAACCAGUAAUAUUUUAUGUUUUCAGCCUAUACAAAGGAGGUAUUGUAUUAGAUGAAGAAAGAGCUUCUUUUUAAUGCUGUAGUUAAGGUUCCACAGUUUCUCAUCUUGCUUUCCAACUCCUUCUGCUCUUGUAAAAUUCAUGAUGAAUUUUUCAAUUUAUUUUAUAAAUGCAGAGUUUGUUUCUAGAGCUUUAUUUCCUACAAGUAAACGAUCUGAUCUUCUUUUUCAGACUUUAGUGUUUCAAUGCAACGUUUUGGUAUGUUGCAAUGCACUGAGAACCUCUUGGUGGACUGGCCUUUAUCAACUUGAAAUAUUAAAUGGUACUGUAUGUCAAAGUAUGAAAAAAUAGUGGUUUAGAUGAUAUCCAGGAGGCUCCAUUCAUAAUCUCUCUCUCUCUUGUUAUUAUGUCAAGAAUAGUGUGUAUUAUUUACACUCAUUGAAGAGGAUGUGAGGCUAGUUUUACAUUUUCUGGGCCCGGAAUAGCCAUGAGUGAUGAAGCCAUGCCUUUCUGCCAGGGUGCUCUUGCAGGCAGCACAGCAGCUGUGCCACGAGCUGCAGGGGCACUCGGGUGUCCUGAGCAGCUGUGGCUGCCCCUGGAUCCCUGCAAGUGGCCAAGGCCAGGCUGGAUGGGGCUCUGGUCAGGCUCUGGGAGGUGUCCCUGCCAUGGCAGGGCGUUGGGAUGAUCUGAGCUGUAGGGUCCCUUCCAACCCUGACUAUUCUGUGAUGCUCUGUGGGACGUUUUUGCAGGGGAGUCCUGCAGGCAGGAGCUCUCCAGGAGCUGCAGAGCAUCCCCUGCCUGUUGCUCCUAGACCCACUUUUCCUCUUGCUGCUUUCUUCUGCAGAGGCUGUGGGCUUGAGGAAGAGGAAAUGUGAGAACAGGCAGCCUCCUCUUGACUUUAAAAAAUCAAGGCUUUUGUUUGUCAUGUAGCAGGCAGGAGUGUGAGGCAGCAAUGCUAUUUGUCCUAAAAGGACUCCCGUACCUAACUGGCAGGCCUUCUCCUGAGAAAGAAGCAAAAAGGAAAAUGCAGACUCUGUGAAUGAUGCUCCAGAUGUGUCCUCCUCCCUUUUCCUCCAGCUAGAGUUUUCUCUUCCCAAUCCCAAAUGAUUGUAACCAACAAUCACCCCUGUUUCUGGAGGGGUGCUUCUGUUUGCAUCUGUACCAGGGUGCAUUUUUAACUGAGUUGCCCUUGGUAGCUCAGAGGUGAUCAUGGCAGAGACAUUGCUGCAUGCCAGGGUUUAUUCUGAUCCUGGCCUGGAACAGGGAGAGGCAAUGCUCCCUUGUCACUAACAUGAAUUAGUGGGAUAUCACUCUUCUUAAGUAUGUGUGACCUAAUAAGAAAACUCAGUAACUAACCAUGGAAGAGUAAUUUUAGCAGAGAACAAAUUGCAUUGGGUAUAUUUAGUUUCUUUUACUUCAAACCAGUGAGAAUAUCAUUACUAAUCUUUAUUCAGGUGUCUUUUACUUAACUGCAUAGCAAAAUCUCUAGUCAAAGAAUAUAAAUAGAUUCAAGAGCAAUUGUGAAAUGCUAUCUAAAAUGAAUAGCUCAAAUUGGACUUGGAAAAUGAUUGCAAUAUAAAAAUGUAUUCAGUAUAUUGCUGAUUUUUUUCUAGCUAGAAAGCUUCUUUCUAUUUUUUUUUUUUUCUGGUUCUUAUGCUAUGGUGCCAUUCUUGAGAGGACUCCAAAGAAAUACAAAUACACCAGAAAAAUUACAUUAAUGAGAAGUGAGGAAAAAAAUCCCACGAGGUUUUGGUGGUUUUGUUGUUGAAAUAUUUGUAAUUUUGUGUUUUAAAUACAUGGCCUAAAAUGACUGACAAAAAAUUUCAAUUAUGAAAAGCAUUAUCAAGUUUUAGUACAUUCUGAUUAGCGUGAUACUCACUAAUGUGUUCUGCUUGGGAGCUGAUGAUGCAAGAUGGCUUAAAUGUGUAGUUCAUUAUUAUUAUGGAUGGUUUUUAAAUUUACUGAAUUGCUUCACCCAGUGCUGCAAAAUAAAAAAUUAUUUUCCCAAUUAUACUCUUUUGUACUGAAGUGUUUCUAGUUAUAGGAAUUUACAUGUCAGAAUAACUUGCUAAAGAAAAGAAUUGCUGUUUUUAAACAGAAAGCCAAUAAGAAUAAUGGUUGUUAACACAGAUUUCUAUUGAAUAGCUUAAAACAUAUUAAAAUUUAGAGACAAACAGUCAUAAAUAAAUAAAAACAUGAACAGUAAUAAAUAAA